AACGAACGCUGGCGGCAGGCUUAACACAUGCAAGUCGAGCGCCUCGCUAGAGGAGCGGCAGACGGGUGAGUAACGCGUGGGAACGUACCCUUAUCUUCGGAAUAGCUCUGGGAAACUGGAAGUAAUACCGAAUGUGCCCUUAGGGGGAAAGAUUUAUCGGAUAAGGAUCGGCCCGCGUUGGAUUAGCUAGUUGGUGGGGUAAAGGCAUACCAAGGCGACGAUCCACAGCUGGUCUGAGAGGAUGAUCAGCCACAUUGGGACUGGGACACGGCCCAAACUCCUACGGGAGGCAGCAGUGGGGAAUAUUGGACAAUGGGCGCAAGCCUGAUCCAGCCAUGCCGCGUGAGUGAUGAAGGCCUUAGGGUUGUAAAGCUCUUUCACCGGAGAAGAUAAUGACGGUAUCCGGAGAAGAAGCCCCGGCUAACUUCGUG
rnacentral:rRNA from 1 species